GUGUCAGCCGCCGCGGUAAUACGAAGGGGGCUAGCGUUGCUCGGAAUUACUGGGCGUAAAGGGCGCGUAGGCGGCACUGUUAGUCAGGCGUGAAAGUCCUGGGCUCAACCUGGGAACUGCGCUUGAUACGGCAGAGCUAGAGGAUGGAAGAGGGUCGCGGAAUUCCCAGUGUAGAGGUGAAAUUCGUAGAUAUUGGGAAGAACACCGGUGGCGAAGGCGGCGACCUGGUCCAUUACUGACGCUGAGGCGCGACAGCGUGGGGAGCAAACAGGAUUAGAUACCCCUGUAGUCC
rnacentral:rRNA from 1 species